rnacentral:rRNA from 1 species
CGCAUCUGUGCAUGCAGCAUAUCAAUAAGCGGAGGAAAAGAAACUAACAAGGAUUCCCUUAGGUAACGGCGAGUGAAGCGGGAAGAGCUCAAAUUUGAAAUCUUGAAAGGUCACCUUUCACGAAUUGUAGUUUAAAGAAGUGUUUUCUGUUACGAUCGUAAUAUAAGUUCUUUGGAAUAGGACAUCACAGAGGGUGAGAAUCCCGUCUAUGAUUGCGAUUUGUAGCUUUGUGAUACACUUUCAAAGAGUCGGGUUGUUUGGGAAUGCAGCCCAAAACGGGAGGUAAAUUUCUUCUAAGGCUAAAUAUUGGCGAGAGACCGAUAGCGAACAAGUACCGUGAGGGAAAGAUGAAAAGAACUUUGAAAAGAGAGUUAAAUAGUACGUGAAAUUGUCAAAAGGGAAGCGUUUAACACCAGUGUUGUUUUCUGAAAAUCAACCUCUGUUAGCUUUAUGCAUGUUUGUUUAGACCUAAUCAGCUAUCUUGCAUGUUCUAUUGUUUGCAGUGGUGCACUUUUCAGUUUACAGGUCAACAUCAGUUUUUUUUACCGUAAAAAAGUUAAAGAAAGGUAGCUCAUGGCUCCGGUCGUGAGUGUUAUAGUCUUUUUCCUAUGCGGUAGGAGAGACUGAGGUCUGCAGUGUAGGCUAUUUGGCUAGAUACUCAGGUGCUAUGUGAUACCAUUUCAUAAACAACUUGUUGAUUAUGUUUUGUCUAUUGCAUACUCGCUUGUACUAUCAUACCUACGCUUAGGAUGUUGACGAUCAGCUGAGCGCG